CCAAUAGCGUAUAUUAAAGUUGUUGCAGUUAAAAAGCUCGUAGUUGAAUUUCGGGAUCAGUUCGCUGGUCGUGCCUCUGGUAUGUACUGGUGUUACUGGUUCCUCCCUUCUGACGAACUGUCAUGUCAUUUAUUUGGUGUGGCAGGGAAUCAGGACUGUUACUUUGAAAAAAUUAGAGUGUUUAAAGCAGGCUCGCGCUUGAAUACAUUAGCAUGGAAUAAUGAAAUAGGACGUUCGAUCCUAUUUUGUUGGUUUCUAGGAUUGACGUAAUGAUUAAUAGGGAUAGUUGGGGGCAUUAGUAUUCAAUUGUCAGAGGUGAAAUUCUUGGAUUUAUUGAAGACUAACUACUGCGAAAGCAUUUGCCAAGGAUGUUUUCUUUAAUCAAGAACGAAAGUUAGGGGAUCGAAGACGAUCAGAUACCGUCGUAGUCUUAACCAUAAACUAUGCCGACUAGGGAUCGGAUGAUGUUAUUUUUAAUGACUCAUUCGGCGCCUUACG
rnacentral:rRNA from 1 species